CCCUGGCUCAGGAUGAACGCGGCGGCGUGCUUAACACAUGCAAGUCGAACGAUGAUCCCAGCUUGCUGGGGGAUUAGUGGCGAACGGGUGAGUAACACGUGAGUAACCUGCCCUUAACUCUGGGAUAAGCCUGGGAAACUGGGUCUAAUACCGGAUAUGACUCCUCAUCGCAUGGUGGGGGGUGGAAAGCUUUAUUGUGGUUUUGGAUGGACUCGCGGCCUAUCAGCUUGUUGGUGAGGUAAUGGCUCACCAAGGCGACGACGGGUAGCCGGCCUGAGAGGGUGACCGGCCACACUGGGACUGAGACACGGCCCAGACUCCUACGGGAGGCAGCAGUGGGGAAUAUUGCACAAUGGGCGAAAGCCUGAUGCAGCGACGCCGCGUGAGGGAUGACGGCCUUCGGGUUGUAAACCUCUUUCAGUAGGGAAGAAGCGAAAGUGACGGUACCUGCAGAAGAAGCGCCGGCUAACUA
rnacentral:rRNA from 1 species